CGAAAGACGAAGAAGAGACGAGUAACUAAAGAAAUAGAUUUAAGAGAGUCCCUGUUGGUGCGAUGGGAUAUCGAAAGCUUUGGCGAAUAAAGACUCGGAGUCUUCUCGGGGAUAUUUGAUCCGGGAACGAGUUUUGCACGUUAUAGCAAAGGAGUAUGAUUGUACUUUCAGAGGUGUAUUUUGUGAAAAAUACAUGAAUUAAGGUGGUAACGCGAUUUUCGCCCUUAUU
rnacentral:ncRNA from 1 species